rnacentral:tRNA from 1 species
GGAGUGGUAGUUCAGUGGUAGAGUGAGUGGCCUCGAAAUUCCUUUCCCCACCUUUCUAGGAAGGUGGUAUCCUAAAAAAGCAAAAUUUUCUAAUACUUCUCCUCCUUCUAGACGUGAGAUUGCAGAUCUUAAGGUCCCCGGAUCGAUCCCGGGUCACUCCU